AAAGGGCAGCGUUGCCAAAGUAAGGAAAUGGAAGGGUUAAGAAACUUGCAUGAAAGUGCUGCUCCUCCUGAGGACAGUGAUGGUUGUGGACUGAAUCAGCAGAGACAGAGCUGGGGACCUUGACAACCAGCAAUCUGCCACUAAGAAGAGUGAAGAAUAUUAUUCCUGCCCUGCCUUGCAUGUAAAGGAAAUAAAAAUGAAAAUGAAAAAGUGACUUCCAUGGAGUAUGGGAUUAGACCAGUGUUUGAGAAUGGCUUUUCACUCACUAGAAGUCUACUGCAAGUGAUUUAUGACAACAAUCUGAGUGAGCUCGAUCGUCUUAAAAGGGAACAGUUAAGAAGAAAAGAAAAGCAAUAUCAUAAAGAAGAAGUGAAACAAGAAGAAGUGACACAUAGAACACUAGAA